rnacentral:lncRNA from 1 species
AAAAAACUAUUUAAAUAUUAUAAAUUCACAGUUCAAAUGUUCAUGCACCUUCUAUGAAUCAACUAAUAUGUUUACUUUUUCAAGGACAAUAAAAAAUCAUUUCAGAAUUACAUUGACAAUUCCAUUUGAAUGACAAAUGACAAAACCAUAUCCUAAAGACAUAGAAACCACUGAUUCCUCCAUAGAAAAAAACAAGAAACACCCAACAAGAACUACCUCGGAAACUCAGAAACAAACUAUGUUAAAUGUUAGUGAAGAUCAUACCAUGCAAGCAAAAUGUACUUCUGAAAUGAAUUGAUAAUUUUAUAUUUGCUUAGUCCAAAACAAAACCUUUAAGAUAUAAA